GCGUGCCUAUACAUGCAGUCGAGCGGACAGAAGGGAGCUUGCUCCCGGAUGUUAGCGGCGGACGGGUGAGUAACACGUGGGUAACCUGCCUGUAAGACUGGGAUAACUCCGGGAAACCGGAGCUAAUACCGGAUAGUUCCUUGAACCGCAUGGUUCAAGGAUGAAAGACGGUUUCGGCUGUCACUUACAGAUGGACCCGCGGCGCAUUAGCUAGUUGGUGAGGUAACGGCUCACCAAGGCGACGAUGCGUAGCCGACCUGAGAGGGUGAUCGGCCACACUGGGACUGAGACACGGCCCAGACUCCUACGGGAGGCAGCAGUAGGGAAUCUUCCGCAAUGGACGAAAGUCUGACGGAGCAACGCCGCGUGAGUGAUGAAGGUUUUCGGAUCGUAAAGCUCUGUUGUUAGGGAAGAACAAGUGCAAGAGUAACUGCUUGCACCUUGACGGUACCUAACCAGAAAGCCACGGCUAACUACGUGCCAGCAGCCGCGGUAAUACGUAGGUGGCAAGCGUUGUCCGGAAUUAUUGGGCGUAAAGGGCUCGCAGGCGGUUUCUUAAGUCUGAUGUGAAAGCCCCCGGCUCAACCGGGGAGGGUCAUUGGAAACUGGGAAACUUGAGUGCAAAAGAGGAGAGGGGGAAUUCCCCCGUUACCCGGUGAAACUGCCGUAGAAUAUGUGCGAGGGAACACC
rnacentral:rRNA from 1 species